rnacentral:tRNA from 1 species
CAGGAAAUAGUUUAGUUUAGAAUUCUGGCUUUGGGAGCCAGGGGUAGGAGUUAAAAUCUUCUUUUUCUGG